UAAGAAAUAAGUUGCUAAAUGAAUGAGCCAUACCACUCUCUGCUUAUGUUCAUAACAAAGCCGCCUACUUACCCUCUUAUCAGGAAAGCAACUUCUCAAGGGAUGCUUUCAUGAGUACACAUUUACAAAGGACAAUUUCAUAUUGUUCUCAUAUUUUAAAAAAGCAACAUUAAUUUUCAGCAUGAUUUUCCUUUAUUGUAUGUCAUUAAUUGUCCUCAUACCCUAAAAUCAUGUUUGUAUUUUCAAUUUGAGAUGUAUGUCAGCACCCAGCUCAGCACUUAAUAGACAAUGAAAAUUCAACAAAUACACAUUGAAUUCAAAAUCUCUUGCAUGGACACCGUAAAUAGUUAGACAACGCCCCAAGAAGCCCCGCUUACCUUUCUCUUUAAAUUUAAAACAUUAUCACAAAACACAGGCUGAAAAAUUGGUGUCACUUUUGUUUGUACAAAAAAAUACAUGUCAAGAUGCAAACUAAAAUUAAGCAAAGACUAAAGCAAUUAGGAGAUAAACUUUAUAGUUUACUUUCACAUCAAAGAUGUUUUAAUGAUAUACUGAAUAACAAUAUUAAUGUGAAAGUUAAAUAUUAUAUUCAUAUUCCUAUAUACAAUAUUAUAUCCUCUCACACUACUAAGGGCAAUUAAAGAUAAUUGAAAUGUCAUCAGCAAAAAAAAAAGAAUUGUUAUGGAAAACCGUUGAACACUGACUAUGUAUAUAACACAUCUGCAAUAGGUUUCGAGCUAAAAUCUUUGAAAAUUGAAGUCCUAUUAAAAUAUUAGUAAAAUGGACCAGAAGGGACCCAGCAGGCGACUUUCCCCGUCCUUAGAGAUGUACAGAUUGAAGUAGAAACGUUAUCACGCCGUUGUCCAAUAAACUGAUUGGUUUAUUUUCAACAGCUGAUGCCUCUACAUUUCAGCAACUGUGAAGAACACAUUCUCUUUUUUUCUUUUUGCAGGGAGUCGGUUCUCUUUCGAAAGGGUGUGACAGCCAAAGCGCAGCGGGGCAAAAGCGAUGUUUGGCGGCGGAACUGCCAGCCGCGAGAGUCCCGGGACUCACCGCUGCUCAGCUCGUAGCCAAAGAGAGGGCUGGUGCCCGGAGGGGCGGCGGCGGCCACCAGGCAGUUCCAUCUCUCGUGCCUGAACUGGCUUCUGCACUCCUGAAUGCCCAGCCGGGCGCCCUCGCGGAUGCUGGGCAGCAGACAACGUAAAAAGAAGGCCAGCCGUAGUAGGUGUCCUAAGCAGCUUUCCCCUCGCGAGCGGGGAGCAGCGUGAGGAAGUUGAGAAAGUAGCCUGGGGCCCUCCUCCGGCGCCAAGUUGGAGAUGUGCAGGAGAUGCGGGAGCGUCCGUCGCAUUCCAAGGGGCUUUCCUGGUGGCUCAGUGGUAAAGAAUCUGCCUACCAAUGCAGAAGAUGCAAGUUCCAUCCCUGGAUCAAGAAGAUCCCCUGGAGGAGGAAAUGGAAACCCACUCCAGUAUUCUUUACUGGGAAAAUUCCAUGGACAGAGGAGCCUUGCAGGCUACAGCCCACGGGGUCACAAAGAGUUGGACACGACUGAAGCGACCGAGCACACAUUAUAUUACAGUGCUGGAGGAAUGAAACCCUCCAAAUGACUUGUGUAUUAAGAAGAAGUUUGAAGAGAUGUCCAGGGUCUGUCAAAGACAGCUGGAGAGGGUGUUCAUAAUUUUUAUCCAUCCCAGAAGCCAUUGUGGGAAGAAGCUCUCUUCUCUAUGUAGCCCCCUUUUCUGACCAAGUCUCAUGAUGAUGGGCCUAAUGCAUAAACAUAAGCCAUACUGGUUUCAGUGCUGACAUUUUAUACCAUCCUCUCAUCUCCAUGUAUUGAUUGCACGUAUUGACGUCAAGAGUCUUGAAUACCAAACCUUCAGCUGUUAACAUAAGAAAAUCUACAGGAGACCAAACAACCUCUUAUACCGAAGUGGAGAUUAGUGGAUAUAUGUUUGAACAUAUGUUACAACAUAUGCCCAUUUUAUGUUCAUGUUAAAUUUUUUUCUAAUGUUUGAAUCAAUAAUUUAAUUUUAAAAGCAGACAAAUUAUAGGCCAAAUAAAAAGUUAAAUUAUAGACUGUAAAUAAAAUAAAAAUUUUGACCUUGAUGCCAUAGACUAAGAUUUUAAUCUAUAGAUUUUGAACAGAUUUUAUUAUUUAAAAAGAUGGAAAUACAAUUGAAUAACAUAUGUAAAUAAAUCACAUACCAUCACCAUUAAAUCAUUUAAACUAGCAUUAAAAGCCACAUCAAAUUGAUGUAUUUCACCAGCCAACCA